AAAAACAAAACAAAAAAGCAAACAGGUGAAAAAUGAUGAUUGUGGCUUCCUUGCUAACUGGGUUAGAGAAGUGAUCAAGUGUGAACCGGGACUUGAAUGAGAGGAGUGACUUAGCAUUUGGUGACUGUCCUUAACGAAGAACUGUGCGCUCCUGGGCGAAGAAACAAUGAUGGAGCAGGAAAUGACCCGGUUACAUCGGAGAGUGUCAGAGGUGGAGGCUGUGCUUAGUCAGAAGGAGGUGGAGCUGAAGGCCUCUGAGACUCAGAGAUCCCUCCUGGAGCAGGACCUUGCUACCUACAUCACAGAAUGCAGUAGCUUAAAGCGAAGUUUGGAGCAAGCACGGAUGGAGGUGUCCCAGGAGGAUGACAAAGCACUGCAGCUUCUCCAUGAUAUCAGAGAGCAGAGCCGGAAGCUCCAAGAAAUCAAAGAGCAGGAGUACCAGGCUCAAGUGGAAGAAAUGAGGUUGAUGAUGAAUCAGUUGGAAGAGGACCUUGUCUCAGCAAGAAGACGGAGUGAUCUCUAUGAAUCUGAGCUGAGAGAGUCUCGGCUUGCUGCUGAAGAAUUCAAGCGGAAAGCGACAGAAUGUCAGCAUAAACUGUUGAAGGCUAAGGAUCAAGGGAAGCCUGAAGUGGGAGAAUAUGUGAAACUGGAGAAGAUCAAUGCUGAGCAGCAGCUCAAAAUUCAGGAGCUCCAAGAGAAACUGGAGAAGGCUGUAAAAGCCAGCACGGAGGCCACUGAGCUGCUGCAGAAUAUCCGCCAGGCAAAGGAGCGAGCCGAGAGGGAGCUGGAGAAGCUGCAGAACCGAGAGGAUUCUUCUGAAGGCAUCAGAAAGAAGCUGGUGGAAGCUGAGGAACGCCGCCAUUCUCUGGAGAACAAGGUAAAGAGACUAGAGACCAUGGAGCGUAGAGAAAACAGACUGAAGGAUGACAUCCAGACAAAAUCCCAACAGAUCCAGCAGAUGGCUGAUAAAAUUCUGGAGCUCGAAGAGAAACAUCGGGAGGCCCAAGUCUCAGCCCAGCACCUAGAAGUGCACCUGAAACAGAAAGAGCAGCACUAUGAGGAAAAGAUUAAAGUGUUGGACAAUCAGAUAAAGAAAGACCUGGCCGACAAGGAGACGCUUGAGAACAUGAUGCAGAGACACGAAGAGGAGGCCCAUGAGAAGGGCAAAAUUCUCAGCGAACAGAAGGCGAUGAUCAAUGCUAUGGAUUCCAAGAUCAGAUCCCUGGAACAGAGGAUUGUGGAACUGUCUGAAGCCAAUAAACUUGCAGCAAAUAGCAGUCUUUUUACCCAAAGGAACAUGAAGGCCCAAGAAGAGAUGAUUUCUGAACUCAGGCAACAGAAAUUUUACCUGGAGACACAGGCUGGGAAGUUGGAGGCCCAGAACCGAAAGCUGGAGGAGCAGCUGGAGAAGAUCAGCCACCAAGACCACAGUGACAAGAAUCGGCUGCUGGAACUGGAAACAAGAUUGCGGGAGGUCAGUCUAGAGCACGAGGAGCAGAAACUGGAGCUCAAGCGCCAGCUCACAGAGCUACAGCUCUCCCUGCAGGAGCGCGAGUCACAGUUGACAGCCCUGCAGGCUGCACGGGCGGCCCUGGAGAGCCAGCUUCGCCAGGCGAAGACAGAGCUGGAAGAGACCACAGCAGAAGCCGAAGAGGAGAUCCAGGCGCUCACGGCACAUAGAGAUGAAAUCCAGCGCAAAUUUGAUGCUCUUCGUAACAGCUGUACUGUAAUCACAGACCUGGAGGAGCAGCUAAACCAGCUGACCGAGGACAACGCUGAACUCAACAACCAAAACUUCUACUUGUCCAAACAACUCGAUGAGGCUUCUGGCGCCAACGAUGAGAUUGUACAACUGCGAAGUGAAGUGGACCAUCUCCGCCGGGAGAUCACAGAACGAGAGAUGCAGCUUACCAGCCAGAAGCAAACGAUGGAGGCUCUGAAGACCACGUGCACCAUGCUGGAGGAACAGGUCAUGGAUUUGGAGGCCCUAAACGAUGAGCUGCUAGAAAAAGAGCGGCAGUGGGAGGCCUGGAGGAGUGUCCUGGGUGAUGAGAAAUCCCAGUUUGAGUGUCGGGUUCGAGAGCUGCAGAGGAUGCUGGACACCGAGAAACAGAGCAGGGCGAGAGCCGAUCAGCGGAUCACCGAGUCUCGCCAGGUGGUGGAGCUGGCAGUGAAGGAGCACAAGGCCGAGAUUCUCGCUCUGCAGCAGGCUCUCAAAGAGCAGAAGCUGAAGGCCGAGAGCCUCUCUGACAAGCUCAAUGACCUGGAGAAGAAGCACGCUAUGCUUGAAAUGAAUGCCCGAAGCUUACAGCAGAAGCUGGAGACUGAACGAGAGCUCAAACAGAGGCUUCUGGAAGAGCAAGCCAAAUUACAGCAGCAGAUGGACCUGCAGAAAAAUCACAUUUUCCGUCUGACUCAAGGACUGCAAGAAGCUCUAGAUCGGGCUGAUCUACUGAAGACAGAAAGAAGUGACCUGGAAUAUCAGCUGGAAAACAUUCAGGUUCUCUAUUCUCAUGAAAAGGUGAAAAUGGAAGGCACUAUUUCUCAACAAACCAAACUCAUUGAUUUUCUGCAAGCCAAAAUGGACCAACCUGCUAAAAAGAAAAAGGUUCCUCUGCAGUACAAUGAGCUGAAGCUGGCCCUGGAGAAGGAGAAAGCUCGCUGUGCAGAGCUAGAGGAAGCCCUUCAGAAGACCCGCAUCGAGCUCCGGUCCGCCCGGGAGGAAGCUGCCCACCGCAAAGCGACGGACCACCCACACCCAUCCACGCCAGCCACCGCGAGGCAGCAGAUCGCCAUGUCCGCCAUUGUGCGGUCGCCAGAGCACCAGCCCAGUGCCAUGAGCCUGCUGGCCCCGCCAUCCAGCCGCAGAAAGGAGUCUUCAACUCCAGAGGAAUUUAGUCGGCGUCUUAAGGAACGCAUGCAUCACAAUAUUCCUCACCGAUUCAACGUAGGACUGAACAUGCGAGCCACAAAGUGUGCUGUGUGUCUGGAUACCGUGCACUUUGGACGCCAGGCAUCCAAAUGUCUCGAAUGUCAGGUGAUGUGUCACCCCAAGUGCUCCACGUGCUUGCCAGCCACCUGCGGCUUGCCUGCUGAAUACGCCACACACUUCACCGAGGCCUUCUGCCGCGACAAAAUGAACUCCCCAGGUCUCCAGACCAAGGAGCCCAGCAGCAGCUUGCACCUGGAAGGGUGGAUGAAGGUGCCCAGGAAUAACAAACGAGGACAGCAAGGCUGGGACAGGAAGUACAUUGUCCUGGAGGGAUCAAAAGUCCUCAUUUACGACAAUGAAGCCAGAGAAGCUGGACAGAGGCCGGUGGAAGAAUUUGAGCUGUGCCUUCCCGACGGGGAUGUAUCUAUUCAUGGUGCCGUUGGUGCUUCCGAACUCGCAAAUACAGCCAAAGCAGAUGUCCCAUACAUACUGAAGAUGGAAUCUCACCCGCACACCACCUGCUGGCCCGGGAGAACCCUCUACUUGCUAGCUCCCAGCUUCCCUGACAAACAGCGCUGGGUCACCGCCUUAGAAUCAGUUGUCGCAGGUGGGAGAGUUUCUAGGGAAAAAGCAGAAGCCGAUGCUAAACUGCUUGGAAACUCCCUGCUGAAACUGGAAGGUGAUGACCGUCUAGACAUGAACUGCACAUUGCCCUUCAGUGACCAGGUGGUGUUGGUGGGCACCGAGGAAGGUCUCUACGCCCUGAAUGUCUUGAAAAACUCCCUAACCCAUGUCCCAGGAAUUGGAGCAGUCUUCCAAAUUUAUAUUAUCAAGGACCUGGAGAAGCUACUCAUGAUAGCAGGAGAAGAGCGGGCACUGUGUCUUGUGGACGUGAAGAAAGUGAAACAGUCCCUGGCGCAGUCCCACCUGCCCGCCCAGCCCGACAUCUCACCCAACAUUUUUGAAGCUGUCAAGGGCUGCCACUUGUUUGGGGCAGGCAAGAUUGAGAACGGGCUCUGCAUCUGUGCAGCCAUGCCCAGCAAAGUCGUCAUUCUCCGCUACAACGAAAACCUCAGCAAAUACUGCAUCCGGAAAGAGAUAGAGACCUCAGAGCCCUGCAGCUGUAUCCACUUCACCAAUUACAGUAUCCUCAUUGGAACCAAUAAAUUCUACGAAAUCGACAUGAAGCAGUACACGCUCGAGGAAUUCCUGGAUAAGAAUGACCAUUCCUUGGCACCUGCUGUGUUUGCCGCCUCUUCCAACAGCUUCCCUGUCUCGAUCGUGCAGGUGAACAGCGCAGGGCAGCGAGAGGAGUACUUGCUGUGUUUCCACGAAUUUGGAGUGUUCGUGGAUUCUUACGGAAGACGCAGCCGCACAGACGAUCUCAAGUGGAGUCGCUUACCUUUGGCCUUUGCCUACAGAGAACCCUAUCUGUUUGUGACCCACUUCAACUCACUCGAAGUAAUUGAGAUCCAGGCACGCUCCUCGGCAGGGACCCCUGCCCGAGCGUACCUGGACAUCCCGAACCCGCGCUACCUGGGCCCUGCCAUUUCCUCAGGAGCGAUUUACUUGGCGUCCUCAUACCAGGAUAAAUUAAGGGUCAUUUGCUGCAAGGGAAACCUCGUGAAGGAGUCCGGCACUGAACACCACCGAGGCCCGUCCACCUCCCGCAGCAGCCCCAACAAGCGAGGUCCGCCCACGUACAAUGAGCACAUCACCAAGCGCGUGGCCUCCAGCCCAGCGCCGCCCGAAGGCCCCAGCCACCCGCGAGAGCCAAGCACACCCCACCGCUACCGCGAGGGGCGGACCGAGCUGCGCAGGGACAAGUCUCCUGGCCGCCCCCUGGAGCGAGAGAAGUCCCCGGGCCGGAUGCUCAGCACGCGGAGAGAGCGGUCCCCCGGAAGGCUGUUUGAAGACAGCAGCAGGGGCCGGCUGCCUGCGGGAGCCGUGAGGACCCCGCUGUCCCAGGUGAACAAGGUCUGGGACCAGUCUUCAGUAUAAAUCUCAGCCAGAAAAACCAAC
rnacentral:sRNA from 1 species